UCAGACGUUGGACAACCUCCUACACAGAUUCUGAGAGUAGUUGUCAUUAUCAAAGAAACCGCUCUGCAACCGACCGAGAAAUUUAUUCCUCAAACAACGAGGGGUAUUAUAACGUCAAUUUCAAAACGUACUGAACCUACCACAAAAAUCAUAAGAAUAAAUCAAUCUACAACGAUAGUAAAUCAACCUACAACAAAAGUAAAUCAACCUACAACGAAAGUAAAUCAACCU